AGGAGCUUGCUUCUCUGGAUGAGUUGCGAACGGGUGAGUAACGCGUAGGUAACCUGCCUGGUAGCGGGGGAUAACUAUUGGAAACGAUAGCUAAUACCGCAUAAUAGUAGAUGUUGCAUGACAUUUGCUUAAAAGGUGCAAUUGCAUCACUACCAGAUGGACCUGCGUUGUAUUAGCUAGUUGGUGGGGUAACGGCUCACCAAGGCGACGAUACAUAGCCGACCUGAGAGGGUGAUCGGCCACACUGGGACUGAGACACGGCCCAGACUCCUACGGGAGGCAGCAGUAGGGAAUCUUCGGCAAUGGACGGAAGUCUGACCGAGCAACGCCGCGUGAGUGAAGAAGGUUUUCGGAUCGUAAAGCUCUGUUGUAAGAGAAGAACGAGUGUGAGAGUGGAAAGUUCACACUGUGACGGUAUCUUACCAGAAAGGGACGGCUAACUACGUGCCAGCAGCCGCGGUAAUACGUAGGUCCCGAGCGUUGUCCGGAUUUAUUGGGCGUAAAGCGAGCGCAGGCGGUUAGAUAAGUCUGAAGUUAAAGGCUGUGGCUUAACCAUAGUACGCUUUGGAAACUGUUUAACUUGAGUGCAAGAGGGGAGAGUGGAAUUCCAUGUGUAGCGGUGAAAUGCGUAGAUAUAUGGAGGAACACCGGUGGCGAAAGCGGCUCUCUGGCUUGUAACUGACGCUGAGGCUCGAA
rnacentral:rRNA from 1 species